AGUCGUGUCCGACCCUCAGCGACCCCAUGGACUGCAGCUUACCAGGCUCCUCCAUCCAUAGGAUUUUCCAGAAAAGCCUUAUUUCCGCAUUUUCACAAAAGUGGAGCCCGUGGUUCAGGGAGAUGCAGCAGCUGACUCAAGACUGCGGAGACAGUAGGUCAGAGAUGGACCAGGAUGUGGUCUUCCAGCACUGAUACCAGCCCUGUCUGUCCCAGCCUGAGAGGCGGCCUUCUGCAAUGCUCUCCGUGGAAGCUUCAUCCAGGCUUGGCCCUCGAAGUCCUAAAUCUAACAUCAAGCAAAAAGGGAAAUUCAGGAAUCUGCCCUUGGCCAUAUCUGUUCUUCAGAGAUGGGGAAAUGGCCCCAGAUGGUCCCUGAUUCUGUCCCAGGACUGGCUGGUGGUGGGGUGUAGUGUCUGCACCCUCCCAAGGAGACUGACCGUCAGAACCCUGUCUCUGUGGGCCUUCUCAGGCUCUCUGACUGCUCCGCGUGGCUCCGGGUGGGAGUUAGGGAAAUCUGGAGGUUAAAGGUGCAACCAAGUGAGCCUGCCAGGCAGGCCCCAGGUAAAAGGGAUGGAUGGGGACUCCAGCCCAGGCCCAGAGAACACCGAGGACGCACCACUGAGUGGGCUGUGACCUGUGGCUGGGGGAGAGCCCUUGGGCCCUAGAGGGCACAUGCUCCCCACACAUCCCAGCUUAGCCCAGGGCCAGGUAGGGGAGGUGCUGAUGCACAAGCAAUAAUGGGCCAGAUGAUAGCUUUCAGAGCUCGUUGAAGGAGGCAGGCAGGGCAAGCUUCAUUUUGGUUUACAGAUAUGGCAAUGGAGGCCCAGAGAACUCAGAUGGCUUUCCAAGGCCACACAGCCCCGAAGGCAGGACCCUGGGCUCCUUUUCAUCUGUCAACUCUAGGAGGAUGGGUCUGGGCACAGCCACGAAGGAGCAGAUGUGAGUAAGUAAGCUCGGGCAAAAGGAUGGAUGGAUGGAUGGGUUGACGGAUUCGUUGAUUGAAUCAGUGAGACCCCACCUUCUGAGCUGCGGGCCACCGUCUCUACUGCCUCCCGGCUCUGAAUAGGAGAGCAGAUCUGAGCUUGCAGUUCCCACUAAGG
ensembl:lncRNA